GAGUUUGAUCCUGGCUCAGGACGAACGCUGGCGGCGUGCCUAACACAUGCAAGUCGAGCGGACGGAGGGGCUUCGGCCCCGAAGUCAGCGGCGGACGGGUGAGUAACGCGUGAGCAAUCUGCCUUUCACAGGGGGAUAACAUUGAGAAAUCAGUGCUAAUACCGCAUAAGACCACGGAGCUGCAUGGCUCAGGGGUCAAAGGAGCAAUCCGGUGAGAGAUGAGCUCGCGUCCCAUUAGAUAGUUGGUGAGGUAACGGCUCACCAAGUCAACGAUGGGUAGCCGACCUGAGAGGGUGAUCGGCCACAUUGGGACUGAGACACGGCCCAAACUCCUACGGGAGGCAGCAGUGGGGAAUAUUGGGCAAUGGGCGCAAGCCUGACCCAGCAACGCCGCGUGAGGGAAGAAGGUUUUCGGAUUGUAAACCUCUGUCCUCAGGGACGAAGGAAGUGACGGUACCUGAGGAGGAAGCCCCGGCUAACUACGUGCCAGCAGCCGCGGUAAUACGUAGGGGGCGAGCGUUGUCCGGAAUUACUGGGCGUAAAGGGCGCGCAGGCGGCCGAUCAAGUCAGAUGUGAAACCCCCGGGCUCAACCUGGGAACUGCAUUUGAAACUGGUUGGCUUGAGUGCAGGAGAGGAAAGCGGAAUUCCUAGUGUAGCGGUGAAAUGCGUAGAUAUUAGGAAGAACACCAGUGGCGAAGGCGGCUUUCUGGACUGCAACUGACGCUGAGGCGCGAAAGCGUGGGGAGCGAACAGGAUUAGAUACCCUGGUAGUCCACGCCGUAAACGAUGRAUGCUAGGUGUGGGAGGUAUCGACCCCUUCCGUGCCGCAGCAAACGCAAUAAGCAUCCCGCCUGGGGAGUACGGCCGCAAGGUUGAAACUCAAAGGAAUUGACGGGGGCCCGCACAAGCAGCGGAGCAUGUGGUUUAAUUCGACGCAACGCGAAGAACCUUACCAGGUCUUGACAUCUCCUGAAUGGCGUGGAAACACGCAGUCCCUUCGGGGCAGGAAGACAGGUGGUGCAUGGUUGUCGUCAGCUCGUGUCGUGAGAUGUUGGGUUAAGUCCCGCAACGAGCGCAACCCUUAUACUUAGUUGCCAGCAGGUGAGGCUGGGCACUCUAGGUAGACUGCCGGGGACAACUCGGAGGAAGGUGGGGACGACGUCAAAUCAUCAUGCCCCUUAUGACCUGGGCUACACACGUGCUACAAUGGCCGGGACAAAGGGAAGCGAAGGGGUAACCCGGAGCGGAACCCAAAAACCCGGUCCCAGUUCGGAUUGUGGGCUGCAACCCGCCCACAUGAAGUCGGAGUUGCUAGUAAUCGUGGAUCAGCAUGCCACGGUGAAUACGUUCCCGGGCCUUGUACACACCGCCCGUCACACCAUGGGAGUUUGGAGCACCCGAAGCCAGUGAGGUAACCGCAAGGAGCCAGCUGUCGAAGGUGAGCCAGAUGACUGGGGUGAAGUCGUAACAAGGUAGCCGUAUCGGAAGGUGCGGCUGGAUCACCUCCUU
rnacentral:rRNA from 1 species